GGAGGGGUGGCAGAGUCUGGCUUAUUGCGGCGGUCUUGAAAACCGCUGAGGGUUUUAUGCCCUCCGGGGGUUCAAAUCCCUCCCCCUCCGCCA
rnacentral:tRNA from 1 species